rnacentral:rRNA from 1 species
AAUCAACGCUGGCGGCGUGCCUCAGACAUGCAAGUCGAACGAUUAAAGCUCUCUUCGAAGAGUGCAUAGAGUGGCGCACGGGUGAGUAACACGUAAGUAAUCUACCUUCGAGUGGGGAAUAACGUCCGGAAACGGACGCUAAUACCGCAUAAUGCAGCGGCAUCGUAAGAUGACAGUUGUUAAAGAUUUAUCGCUUGAAGAGGAGCUUGCGGCAGAUUAGCUAGUUGGUAAGGUAAUGGCUUACCAAGGCUACGAUCUGUAACCGGUCUUAGAGGACGGUCGGUCACACUGACACUGAAUAACGGGUCAGACUCCUACGGGAGGCAGCAGUCGGGAAUUUUGGGCAAUGGGCGAAAGCCUGACCCAGCAACGCCGCGUGAAGGAUGAAGUAUUUCGGUAUGUAAACUUCGAAAGAAUAGGAAGAAUAAAUGACGGUACUAUUUAUAAGGUCCGGCUAACUACGUGCCAGCAGCCGCGGU